rfam:Callipepla squamata strain Texas jcf7180005234372, whole genome shotgun sequence.
GUGUCCUGACCUCAUCCUGGCUCUUCCCCUCACCGCAGCUGUGGUGGUGGGGCCUGGGGGUGGACACAGAUCAACUUACCCUCUCGAGUUAGGAGGGUUGCAGAAGGUAUUUGCAAACCCUUAAAGGCAAGAGAGGACAUC